rnacentral:rRNA from 1 species
GAUGAACGCUGGCGGCGUGCUUAACACAUGCAAGUCGAACGGAAAGGCUCCUGCUUGCAGGGGUACUCGAGUGGCGAACGGGUGAGUAACACGUGGGUGAUCUGCCCUGCACUUCGGGAUAAGCCUGGGAAACUGGGUCUAAUACCGGAUAGGACGAUGGUUUGGAUGCCAUUGUGGAAAGUUUUUUCGGUGUGGGAUGAGCUCGCGGCCUAUCAGCUUGUUGGUGGGGUAAUGGCCUACCAAGGCGUCGACGGGUAGCCGGCCUGAGAGGGUGUACGGCCACAUUGGGACUGAGAUACGGCCCAGACUCCUACGGGAGGCAGCAGUGGGGAAUAUUGCACAAUGGGCGCAAGCCUGAUGCAGCGACGCCGCGUGGGGGAUGGCGGCCUUCGGGUUGUAAACUCCUUUCGCUAGGGACGAAGCGCAAGUGACGGUACCUGGAGAAGAAGCACCGGCUAACUACGUG